rnacentral:tRNA from 1 species
AAGGCUUUAGCUUAAUUAAAGCGCCUGUUUUGCAUGCAGGAGAUGUAGGUGAGAGUCUUGCAAGUCUUA